rnacentral:rRNA from 1 species
UACGGAGGGGGCGAGCGUUGUUCGGAAUCACUGGGUGUAAAGGGUGCGUAGGCGGUCCGAUAAGUCUGAUGUGAAAGCCCUGGGCUCAACCUCGGGCCUGCAGUGGGUACGGGCAGACUAGAGUGCGGUAGGGGAGAUUGGAAUUCCUGGUGUAGCGGUGGAAUGCGCAGAUAUCAGGAGGAACACCGAUGGCGAAGGCAGAUCUCUGGGCCGUAACUGACGCUGAGGAGCGAAAGCGUGGGGAGCGAACGGG